AGCCAUUAGAAGAUCUUUAUGGUUUAACCUGCCCAAUGUUGAAAAUGAAUGGCCGCGGUACUCUGACCGUGCUAAGGUAGCGUAAUAAGUUGGCUUUUAAAUGGAGUCAGGUAUGAAUGGAUUAACUGGGUUUAGCUGUCUCGGAAGUGUUAUAUUGAAUUUACUGUCCAUGUGAAAAAGCUUGGAUUUAAUAGGGGGACGAGAAGACCCUUAAAAUUUUAUUAAAAACAAUUAUUGAUUGUUUGCAAUUUUGUUGGGGCGACAUAGAAAUAAUUAUAACUUUCUGUAAAAUAUAAGUCGGAAUUUUCAGGUAAAGAUAAAUUACUUAAGGGAUAACAGCAUAAUUCUAAAAUUGAGUUUGUGACCUCGAUGUUGGACUAGGAAGCUAGUAGGUUAGAUGCCUGCUGUGGGGAUUCUGUUCGAAUUUUAACUCCU
rnacentral:rRNA from 1 species